rnacentral:rRNA from 1 species
UACGUAGGGUCCGAGCGUUGUCCGGAUUUAUUGGGCGUAAAGAGCUCGUAGGCGGCUUGCUAAGUCAGGUGUGAAACCUCCAGGCUCAACCUGGAGCCGCCACCUGAUACUGGUAUGGCUAGAGUCCGGUAGGGGACCACGGAAUUCCUGGUGUAGCGGUGAAAUGUGUUGAUAUCGGAAGGAACGCCGGUGGCGAAAGCGACGUGCUGGACCUCUUCUGACGCUGAGGCGCGAAAGCUAGGGGAGCGAACGGG